UUGUCCGGAUUAUUGGGUGUAAAGGGUGCGUAGGCGGUUUGAUAAGUUAGAGGUGAAAUCCCGGGGCUUAACUCCGGAACUGCCUCUAAUACUGUUAGACUAGAGAGUAGUUGCGGUAGGCGGAAUGUAUGGUGUAGCGGUGAAAUGCUUAGAGAUCAUACAGAACACCGAUUGCGAAGGCAGCUUACCAAACUAUAUCUGAUGUUGAGGCACGAAAGCGUGGGGAGCAAACAGGAUUAGAUACCCUGGUAGUCCACGCAGUAAACGAUGAUAACUAGUUGUCGGCGAUACACAGUCGGUGACUAAGCGAAAGCGAUAAGUUAUCCACCUGGGGAGUACGUUCGCAAGAAUGAAACUCAA
rnacentral:rRNA from 1 species